rnacentral:lncRNA from 1 species
CCACACCUGUGGUCACUCAUCCAUGGACAGAGUGGACACUGGGGAGUGGACACUGACCACACCAGGGGUCACUUGUUCCAAUUUUUGGGGUUUUGGCCCCAAAUUUGGGGUCCUGGACUCAGAUUUUGGGGUCCAAGUCCCAGAUUUUGGGACCCUGGCUCCUUUUUUGGGGUCACAAACUCAAAUUUUGGGGUCACAACCCCAAAUUUGGGGUUCUGGACUCAGAUUUUGGGGUCUCACCCCCCGAUUUUGGGGUCCCAAACCCAAAUUUUUGGGGUCCCAACCCCAUUUUCAGGACCCCAACCCCAAAUUUGGGGUCCCAGCCACAGAUUUUGGGGUUUUGGACCCAAAUUUGGGGGUCCUGGACUCAGAUUUCGGGGUCCCAGUCCCAGAUUUUGGGACCCUGCCUCCUUUUUGGGGGUCCCAAACCCAAAUUUUGGGGUCCCAGAAUCCAAUUUUGGGACCCCAACCCCAAAUUUGGGCUCCUGGACUCAGAUUUUGGGACCCCAGCUCCAUUUUCAGGAGCCCAGCCCCAAAUUUUGGGGUUCUGAACCCAAAUUUUGCGACCCCAGCCCCAAAUAUUGUGACCCCAACUCCAUUUUUGGCACCCUGACCCCAAAUUUUGGGGUCCCAGCCCCAAAUUUUAGGGCCCCGAACCCAAAUUUCGCACCUCAGCCUCAUUUUUGGGGUCCCCAACUCCAGAUUUUGGGGUUCCCCCCUCACAUUUGGGACCCCAGCCCCAGAUUUUGGGGCCCCAACUGCAUUUUGGGGGUCCCAGCCUCAGAUUUUGGGACCCUGACCCCAAAUUUGGGGUCCCAGCCCCAGAUUUUGGGAGCCCCACCCCGAAUUUGGGGACCCCAACUGCAUUUUUGGGACCCCAACCCCCAAAUUUUGCGACCCCAACCCCAAAUUUUGCGACCCCAAAUUUGGGGUCCCAGCCACAUUUUUUGUGCCCUCCAACCCCAAAUUUGGGCUCCCAGCCCCAGAUUUUGGGAGCCUCACCCCAAAUUUGGGGUCGUAACCCAAAUUUUGGGGUCCCAGCCCCAAAUUUUGAGACCCCAACUGCAUUUUUGGGACCCCCAACCCCCAAAUUUUAGGACCCCAGCCCCAAAUUUUGGCGCCCUCCAACCCCAAAUUUUGGGGUUCCGCCCCCCGAACCCCAAAUUCGGAGCUCCGCCCCCCCAAAUAAAGCCCCGCCCCCCCAAAUUCGCCUCCCGAGUCUCUGUGUGCCCCUCCCCCCACCCCGCCCCUCCCCCCCAUUUCCUGCCGCAGCUUCCUGGGGUGGGGGAGGGGCCCCGCGGAUUUUGGGGCGCUCCGGGCGCCGCCGAGGCAGGU